rnacentral:rRNA from 1 species
ACCUUCCGCAAUGGGCGAAGGCCUGACGGAGCAACGCCGCGUGAGUGAUGAAGGGUUUCGGCUCGUAAAACUCUGUUAUUAGGGAAGAACAACUGCGUAAGUAACUGUGCACAUCUUGACGGUACCUAAUCAGAAAGCCACGGCUAACUACGUUCCAGCAGCCGCGGUAAUACGUAGGUGGCAAGCGUUAUCCGGAAUUAGUGGGCGUAAAGCGCGCGUAGGCGGUUUCUUAAGUCUGAUGUGAAAGCCCACGGCUCAACCGUGGAGGGUCAUUGGAAACUGGGAAACUUGAGUGCAAAAGAGGAAAGUGGAAUUCCAGGUGUAGCGGUGAAAUGCGCAGAGAUAUGGAGGAACACCAGUGGCGAAGGCGACUUUCUGGUCUGUAACUGACGCUGAUGUGCGAAAGCGUGGGGAUCAAACA